ACCGGGUGAGCAAGUGAGCAUGUUGUACCACAGUAUGCAUUAUUGCCCUGAUGUGUUUCACCAGAACAAUACAAUAUGAAGCUCUCCCCAAUGCGGAAGGAAAACAGCUGGUGCAGCAGGUCGGAUCAACGUUUCAGGCCCCCUCCUUCUGCGUCGUGCACUCGCACGUGGCAGCACCGGUGCGUUUCGAAACGGCAUCCAUUUCACAUGUGCUCCGCCCGCGCGCUCACUCCGGGUGACCGUAAUGCGCCGUGAAAUGCCCCAUUGCAUUUUAAGCUCCGAUAAAAAGAAACGGCGACAAUGAAACAAUGACACAGCGAACUGCCCAUGACGGAGUGAAACUGCUGUGACGUAGGCACCGCGCGGGUGAAAUGAAAGCAGGCGGGCAGGCGGAGAGGCCGGGGGGUGGAUGCCGUGUCAGAGACGGACGGGGAGGCAGAUGCACAGAGAGACGAAGCUACUUGUAAUGCGCGCUGAAAGGUGAAGCUCCCUCCCACCCCACCCUGCCAAACACCAGCACAUCCUCACAGGGAUUAUAAGGCUGGCAGGAGGCGCACAGCGCUCAUCAUAAUUGGUUGUGCCUUCCCUUAUCUAAGUACCCGCGACAGCACCACUUUGUUAGGACUCACUUUGAUUAAUUGCUCUCGCAGGCAACCGUUCUAUUUACCGCAUGUAGGUCAGGAUGUACCUGCGUAACCAUUCGCCGUCAAAACCGCCAUGUGCUCAAAAUACAGUUAACUUUUAGUUUGUUUACUGCGAGACACAGUGUGUGUGUGGGGGGGGGGUGGACCAGGCGUUUACUUGCUCCAGAUUGCCCACCUAGACGUCAGGGCGUCUACGUCAGGGCGUCUACGUCAUAGCGUCUACGUUAGGGCAUCUACGUCAGGGCGUCUACGCGUGCCCGUCUACGUCAGGGCAUCUACGUCAGGGCGUCUACGCGUGCGCGUCUACGUCAGGGCAUCUACGUCAGGGCGUCUACGUCAGGGCGUCUAUGCGUGCGCGUCUACGUCAGGGCGUCUACGUCAGGGAGUCUACCUAUGCGCCUCAACGUGAGGGUGUCUAAGUGAGGGGCGUCUACGAGGGCGUUUACUUACGUGAGCGCGUCUACGUGACGGCAUCUACUUGUGGUUGUUACGUGACGGAGUCUACGUGGGAAUCCUAGGCAUCCAGCAGUCCAUUAAACAAUAAAAUAUCCCUCACAUAACCCUUGUAACACUGCAAAUCUUUGCUUUUACGUUUGGUUUUCUACUAAAGAUAGACAAAGAAAAAAUGUGUGAACAGAUCCAGACUAUUUCAUCUCAAAGCGAACCAGCUUCACGUCCAACAACUCAAUUAUGAGUGUCAGCGAUGGUCAUUUAGCUGCUAACUAGUUAGUGCCGAUUAAGGUUGAACUAAAAGUGGUAACAGCCAUUUAUUGAAUAAUGUUUAAAUUUACACAAGUCGUACAAAGACAAGACAAGACUUACAAAGUCACUUUACGAAAAAAAAAGAUCCAAAGCCAAAAGAAACUUUUUUGGCAUUCUGUAGCUGCUUCCUGCCAAAUAUCUGCAAAGCCAAUAACAUUCCCCUCACAUCACCCUCAGCUGGACUCGGCCUUUUGUGAUAAUAAGCUAUUGCUUGCAUACAAAAACGCACAACUAAGAUGAUGCACCUUGUGAACAUUUCCAUCACGUUGAAUUUCAAAUCUUAAAAUGUUAAAUGUCUCAGCAAGGAGCUGGCGGCACAGACCAUUGUUGCCCUUUCCUGCCGUUAGUUAGCAGUGAAAGUGGCAGCUCUAACACCUCCUUGUUGCACUGUUUGCUGAACACAAGGCACAAGGCUUUAUUUCUUUAUUAGGGUUGCUGAGAUUGAGGGAGAAAAAGCCUUGUCAGAUAUAAGGAACCUCUGUAAAAAACAAUGACUGUUAAAGAAGUCAAUUAUCUGCUAUUUAAUAGUUACUGGCUUUGUUGAAAUCGACGCUCUAGACCUUAAAAGUCCCGACGGGUGAAGUGGAAUUUGGCUUAAGCAGAAAUAAUGUGAUGAUGAUGACUGCAAAGACCUCCGGCGUCCACGUUAUUUAAGGUAGCUGUUUAAAUAAUACCAGACACUGACCUCAUUACUGGCUCAAAUCACAGAUUUUUCUUAGUGUUUUAGAAUUCAGGACCAAUAAACUGCUACAAAUUGUUGUACCUGACGGUGCGGCUCGUUCAGUCUGCUGUAAUGUUUUGGGUUUUUUCCCCUCAUUUACUGAGAGCGAGCUCUGAAAGCAUGAGAUUUGAGUUGAAGCCAUGUCUGCUUCAGAUUACUUGCACAUUUUUACAAAUUCAUGUGGGAUUUAUUGGUUUGGGGGAUCCUCUCAAUGUGAGUUUUGUAGACAGAUAUUUCUGCAGUCUUGUGCUGAGGAGAAAUGAGGGACACACAGACACACACAGACAAGACAGAACAGAAAAUGGCUGUUUAACCGGCCCCCCAAAACGAGUGUGUAGCUCUAACAAAGAAGCUUUAUCUGCUCUUGCUCUGCCAACUAUAAAAUAAAAAGACUAAACCCAGUCCUCCUUCGUUCAAACACCACAUCGUGUGGCACUUAAACUCCUGACGUGUAUCUUUCUCACUAAGACUUAAGAUUUUCGUUUGAGUGAGGCGUUCACACGCUGCUCCAAUGACCACAAUCCAGUUCUGAGACUCUGUUCUUGUUGUAUAAUUGGGUGACGGUAAUACUGUCCAUCACUGGAACAGGAAUGACGGGUAAUUAAGCCUGAGGACGGUGGUCCAUGCAUGUGUGUGGUUAUUUCUCUGUCAGCAGCUAAUCUGGAACAUUCCUAAUUUCUGAAAUCACAAUUAUUUUUAUGCUGCUUUAAUCCACUUCAUGUGUGAUGAAAUAUGGUUAUUUUCACAUUCAAGUCAAGUGAGUCAAGUGUCAUAGUAAUUGAGUUGCUUUUGUUUACAAUGUUGGAUCUUUACACAAAAAGAAGCUGUAUAUGCCUUCAAAGUACAAUCGAAUGUCAUUAGCGAAGCCGUUUCCUGCAUCACCUUUUUUAAUGCAAAUUGUAUAAAUCUCGCUCUCCCCUCGUCUUUUCUUCCGUGCACAGCUGAUCUCACUAUGGGGAUUUUUACAGCGGGAAGUCCCCUCGAAUUCGCUGGAGAUUGGAUUCCAGUGACCCUCCGCAGAGCGCAUGCAAAAAUAUUCUCUCUGCUAAACAAGCUCUUAGUCAGAGGUUGGGAGCUAAUUGGUGAACUUUUAGCAUUGUGUCCAGCACCGACGCAGCUGACCUUUUAAACGUUUCCAAAUGACUUGUAUUGUGUAAAAGGAGUCUUUGACAUGACGUCAACAAGCACGGUGUUGAUGCUAAAGCUACGUAUCCCGGGCCAUUCAACCUGCUGUGAUUAGUCACGGCUGCUAUGCCGUCAUCGGCCUGCCGCUGACAGGGUUAGAGGCUUUGCCUUGCUCAUAUUUUAACCAGGUAAUGAGCCUUUUAAACUUUAUUUUUUUUACCGUGCUCUCAACAUACUGUGUAAAAGCUUAAUGUUCAGUGAUUUCAAGACAUUUGUUUUCACUCACUGCUUCGCAUGAUUGAGAAAUGACCGUGAAUGCAUUUAAGAUUGCUGCUUUGACAAUCUACAGACUUAAGUGUACAAACCCGUCAUUCGUCAAGCUGAAGUGCCGAGGCCGUCGGUGUGCAGGUAAUCGCAGACAUCCUUCGCUGGCUCGCACCGGCAGCGCGCAGCUCCUUUCAAUGGAGGAUGCAGCGUUAAACUUCGUUUUAACCGCCGGAUAUCACAUCCCAGUUGUGUUAGUGCUAAUGGCUUCAGCGUGUGUGCGUUUUGCCUGUGAUGUCGGCUGUUUUGCAGCACAUUCGCUUAAUUGGAUGACCCCCUUUUGUGUUGGUACGAGUCUGUGCGUUCAACUGUGAAUGGGUUUCCACGUUUGUGCCUUCCUCUCUGCUUUGAUUUCAUUUCGUUUCCGUGUAAUGGGUUUUGUAGACGCCGAGCCCAUUCGGUCUCAGAGGCAGACUGUACGCUAUGCUUCAAUGUCCGUGUCUAAUAUAUAUCAAAGACCUUCAUUUUCAUCGCACUUCGCCCGUCAGACGGACUGUAUCGUCUCCACGUGCAUCCGCACGUGUGUCUAAAAAUGUGUUGUUCAUUGCUUUGGCGCCUUGUGAAACGAUAUAUGUGGAAACAAAGGAUAAUAACAUUGAAAUGUAUACUGAGUGAUGUAAUUGUUGUCAUUAAGGGGACGGUUCACCAACCCUGCUGAAAAAUACAUAUGCAAAAAGGAAACUAGUCACAACAAGGUCUGUGGAUUAUCUUAAAUAACCGGGUCAUCAUUUCUGGGAAAAUAUUGAAUCUUGAAAAAUAUAUACACAUAUUAUUAUGACAUCUAUGGCAUUUUGGGGAUGAAGACUCAUUCAGUCUCUCCGUCUCCAUUAGGAGCAGCACCUCCCUUAAGAUUUCCGGUCGAGCCAUAAACCGUAAUAAAGAGUCAAAUGUCAGUUGACUCAUAAGGCGUUCGUGGGAACCUUGUCUGAACGCUACAGUUGGCGGACCCUGUAAAUGUUUGACGGGUGGCGUGUGGGAGCUUUGUCAUCACAGCGAAUGGAAAACGUUCUUAUCAGUGUGUCGGCUGCCCGGGGCGAUCUCACAUACGGUAUUAAUGUGCAUGUGUCACUGCAUUCACUGGAGCUCGGUGAGUAAUGAGGAACUCCCAAACGGUUAAGCCGCAUGCUAACAGAUGUCCUCAAACUUGAUCUACUACUCUGCAGUUCUUCUUUGCACCCCCCCUCAACCCCUCUCACACUCUCUCCUUCCCUACGUUUCUCCGCUCCUUAGUCACUUUCAUUCUCCGCCCACUCUUUACUUUCGCCAUCGAAACAAAUCAGGAGCAAAUGAGGAGGGAGGAGGGAUGUGGCUGAUAAGGCUUGACAGAACAUCAACAGAUGACAAGCAGUCCGAUGAGUGGGUGGGCAGACGCGGGGGGGUAAUAAAGAGAGAAUGUGAAAGCCAGACUUAAAGAAAUUAUUAAUGAGGCCAGAUGUUCGGCUUCUUUUGGAAUGAAUCAUCGCAUUCCCCCAUGACGAAGCAAAAACUACCCCCCCAUUUCCCAAAAACAUAAGCGCGGCAGGCAAAUGACUUCCCAGGCUGUUUUACUUACUUUUCUGGCUUGAGCAACUCUCUGCUCGUCAGUUCAGGACAGUACAUAUUGACUAAAUGUUUCAGGAUUUUGCUUCAUGCUGACAUUACUUCAUUCCAAUCCAUACCCCUUGAGAAAAAAAACAUCAACCCAGGUCUCUUAAAUAGACACUCAGGCAGAACCACUUCAGCGCAGCUUGUUUGCCUGACCGAGCUAAUUGCGGCACGCGGGCACUCAAGUGGGUAUGAAUCCGCAGUGCCUCAACGAUGAUGUGCGAACACAACAAAUCCUUCAGCGGUGCAUUUACCAGCCACAGAGGCCUGACAUCCUUUAGGAGAUCAAUGCAACUCGGCACGCUGUGCCAGCAAUGUCAGCUUGGCGUCUUUGACUCGUUGAACAUGUAGCAGCGAAAUGAGUAGCAGUGUGAGACGAGAUGAAGCACGAGCAAGGAACUGAUUUUUCUUCUCUACGUGGCUCGACUAAACACUACAUAGUUAGCAAUGAUGCUAACAACAUUAGUGUUAAGUGGAUCCCAUUAUUGAACCUCUUGAAAAAGAUCGGCCUCUAUCUCUCUAUGCGCGUGCGGUUUACGUGCAUUGUGCUGCACAGAUUGCAAUCGAAAAUCAGAUCACAUCCGAUUCCAAAAUCUUUUGGAAAAGGGGCAGCUAAAGUGUUCUGUAUUCUUUGAUGAAGAACACUUUAUUAAUCUAUCCGGUACUUCUGUGCAUCACCACUUGUUAAAGCGCCGGUUGCUGUACAAUACACUCUGUAAGAACAAGGUGUGUCUUUGAUCUCUGUGCAGGGAGGACAUGUUAAGCCCGGCUUAGCAUCAAGACUAGAAGCACGAGGGAACAAAGAGUAUGACUGAGUCUACCACCUUCUCCCAGCCUGACUGAAACCACUGUAUCGUCUUUGGUUAACAUGUUGUUUUACUUGGCCUUUUGUGUCCUUUGUUUAGAGGAUCGUGAUCCUCUUAGCAUCCUAAUGCUACGCUGGGGAUUAGGAUGCUAACAGAAACACAAAGUUUGUAUCAAUCUUCUCAUUGCCCUGUCCAAAAUAAAGUAAAUAUGCAUAUUCUCAAAAUCUCAAACUAUUGUUUGAAGGUCUUGUGUGGGUGGAAGUUGCUGCGUUCUUCUGUCAAACGGGUUCCUCCUUUCAGCCUGGUUGGUAAGUCAACAUCGGCUCCAUAAUUCUCAUAGGAUGUUUUUGCUGACAACCCGCACUAAGUAGAAUGGGGCAGCCAUAAAACAUCAGCUGCAGCUGUUUGUUAACCUCUCAUGUCAGAAAGCUGGGUUCAAAACCCAAAGCCAACUCACCCGGGCCAAUGUAACCUCCAGCAGCAAUAAAACACAGGAGGCACCUAAUGCACGUAGCCAGAAGGCAGCUGGGCCUCCGUCAUCUCAGCGACUUAGUGUUGAGCCCCCUCCAACAGACGAGGCCAUCCAUAAUUAACCCGGCACUGUCACGUCAAGGCGGCAGUCAUAACAUGUCCUCACAUGUCAUCCUAACCUUUUUCCCCGCAUCAUUUUCUCUGCCGUCAACUCAUCACCCAGAUCUGUCGCUCCCCGCAUGAGGACUGCUGUGUGAGAGGGCCAGGGGAGGAAGCUUUGAUCUGCAGCCUUUCCGUCACAGCGUCUCUCUCAAAGGCUUUGGAAGGCAAAUGAUAUUCGGAACAGAGGGAGAAAAUGUGUUUCUCAUUUGCUUUUAUUGAGGGGGAUUCCUGUGAUUUAUUCCCUGUUAGUAAGAAGUGAUUGAGCUAUUUGGCCGUGGGGUAACCAUUGCCAACAACAUCUGUUGUUCUCAGCGAAAACCACAGGAUGUUUGUGUCCUUUCCUGUCUCCUUCUCUGUAUUCCCCUCUAAUCGCUCAAAUCUUAAUACUUCUUUGUAUGAAUACAGAUUUCAUUAAUUCCGGAGAUGGGGAAAUGGGCAAUUAAAAUGUAUGAAUCGCAGCAGAGGAAGCAGCGAGGUAUAGAGAGCGCAAUUGACUAAGUCAAAAGGUCAGAGAGAAAAAGAGCAAGAUACAGUGAUUAAAACGUGAAAGAAUGAGAUUGAUUUGCGUGUCUUUGACUAGAAACUGAAAUAAGGGCCAAUCAAAUGUGUGAGGGAAAGUAAAGUGAGAGGAUUGUAAGAGCAAGAGAGUCAAGUCCAACACGGGAGCGUUACGGACACAGACAGAAUGAUGGGAAAUGGUGAUUAAAGAUGGAUUUGCUUUAAAAUGAAAACCGGAAUAUAUAGAGAAAUUAAAAAGGGCCUUUAGCCGCGCCAAGCGGCGUUUGGCUCGAGAGAAGACGGUCGUUUGGUUGCUUCACCACGUCCAGGAUGACUUAUGGACGACUUCUCAGGACAUUUCGUGCAGACAUUCAUAGUCCACAGAAGAUCAAGAAGAGGAACGUUAUUGUUCCCUUCGGAAUUAUUUAUUUAAACAAUGGUGAUUGUUAUAUGACUUUUAUUGUAAUAUUAUAUGAUAGGUUUAGGCUAAAUUCCUCUAUAAUGGAUUGCAUUUGAUCAGUCAGUAGUUGCCGCACGUUUGCUAAUAAGUAACUAAAUGAGACCAGUAAACGUCAUCACGCAAACCAGUCCACCUUAACAGCCUUCAAGUCUUUGAAGUUAUCGUUUUACUUCUGCUGGUUGCACGCAAGCGUCAAACAUCACAAAAGAGGGUGUUAUUUUUUAACAUUUGCUGAACAAAAUGUGACCUUGUUUUCCGGAAAUCUGUCAUCCCUGCAUCACUCCGUUCUUUUGCUGUUACCUCCUCCGUCUAAGAACUUUCACACUGCUAAAGUACUCCUUGUCAUCCUGUCAUCCUGUGCUGCAAACAUAUCUGAACUGACGGACGGCUCUUGGCUCGCCUAUCGGAUUUGUCUCUUCUGUUGAGCCGUGCCAAAUGUCAAAGGCCAUUUUUAAACAACCUCAAUAUGAAGCGAGUCUCAUGACGUAUGACUCGGAUGAGGAUACCUUUAAAUGAUACCUGGGCUCUUCUGGUACUGAUCCUCAGAGGGUCACCGUAGGCUGGCCCUAGUCGCUUAUUCCCGGGUACAAGAACACAACCCCUAGUGUCCAACAAUCUGACGCCAAUAGCUCCUCACUCCGUACUGAAUAGCCGUGGGUCCAAACUGGGUUAGAGCGGAGCGAGCACUGCUCUGAUCUUUGGCAGGGGGGGUUAAACCAUUAACAUUCACCCUGCACAGCCGGGCUUUACCCCUGCUUCUGCUCAAAGACAGGGGGAGGUUCAUACAGUAUGUGGAGGGCUUGUGGAGCAUAUAUAGCAUUUGUGUGUGUUGUGCUCCUGAUCCGAGAGGAGUGUGAGGUUUGAGAGCAUGCUGUUUUUAUAGAAACAAGGCCAUAUAGAGUGUAUAUGCUGUGGAUUCCCCCCCCCGCCGGCUGAGUGGGAUUACUUCACUCCGUUUAUCAUUCCAUAUCAGUGUGGCUUGCUUGUGUAAUUAUAAAAUAAGUGGAUUAGCGUGCAGUAUAGUCCCUGAGGGAAUUAGGGAAUCUCUGAUGCAAAAUUCCAUCGUACUGUAUGCAGCCGGUCCCACCGCCGCAUCAGCACUUUCUGAGGCAAUGAUACCAGCGUGAGCUCCUUUGAUUGACACUGAUUUAAUAUCAGCGCAGUGGAUUUAAUGAUACAGGCAGUCAUUACGUUUCGGCCCACGUUUCAGGUGAAUGGCGCGCUCCGCAGCAGGUGCACUCGAGAAAAGGUGUUUUCGCGAGGAUGUGCUGAGCGCUCUUUCACUAGAAGGAGCGGCAUCACGCCCCUUCCUGCCAAGACAGAGGUUCUGCCUUUUAAUUACAAAGUUGGAAAGUGAGUGAGGACAAAGCAUAUGUAAAGUUGCUCUUUCAGGGCCUUUUUGCGUGAAACGAAAUUACAAGACUCAUUCUUUUUUUCCCCUCCAGGCUCCAGCGGCCUUACACCCUCCAAAUCCGCCCCCCCUUAAAUCAAAACCCACCUCGAGUGGAUUGCUGCGGAAUACAAAUGAGCAGGCAGUGGCAGGGGCUUCUGUUUUAAUGAGGACAAAAACCCAUCACCACAUCUAACCUCAACCGCUUCAUUUGCCGCUUCCUGCCAGCCGGGACUUCUCGUAGAAUUCCGGG
ensembl:lncRNA